UACGAAGGGGGCUAGCGUUGCUCGGAAUCACUGGGCGUAAAGGGUGCGUAGGCGGGUCUUUAAGUCAGGGGUGAAAUCCUGGAGCUCAACUCCAGAACUGCCUUUGAUACUGAGGAUCUUGAGUUCGGGAGAGGUGAGUGGAACUGCGAGUGUAGAGGUGAAAUUCGUAGAUAUUCGCAAGAACACCAGUGGCGAAGGCGGACUCACUGGCCUGUUCUUGACGCUGAGGCGCGGAAAGCUAAGGGUAGCAAACGGGGAUUAAGAA
rnacentral:rRNA from 1 species